CUUAAAUAUACUUAAAAUAAAACAGAACAACAAAUUUUUCGUAAACAAAAUUUAAUACAACCAUAUAGUCAAGUAAUAAUGGUUAAAAGACAUUUUAUUAGAUACAACUUUUAAAAAAUUAAACUAUGCAAGAAGUAUAUUUAAACAAAACAUGUAAGUAAGUAUUCACGUGCUACAACUUAACUAAGAACAAUUAAAUACAAAGCAUUCUUUCCACUAUGAAGACUCUGGAGCCUCUAAUUGAAAGCAAAUGACCUUAGGUCUAUACUAGUUGUAAAGCAGAUUAUACUUUUGUUCAACUCUAAAUUUGUAUUGUCUUAGAGCUCCAACAACUCUCAAUAAAAAUUUAAAUAAAGAAACCUUGGGGGAGGGGUGAUAGGGAAGGGGAGAGUAAGUGCUUUUUCAAAAAGGUAAAUGAAAAAGCCUGAAGAGGGAAAAAAUUGUACAUAAGUAUGGAACAAAAAUAAGUAUACUUUUUUGACAUUCGAUGUAGAUACUGCAAAUGAAUUUACACGGGUUUAAUCAAUGUAAGAUAGAUAUUUGUCUGAAUAUUUUAAAAAGCACCUAGGUAUCAAAAAAUAAAAACAAAAAAUAUAAUGAAACUCCAAACAUCCAACAAUCUCCCUUAACAUUCUCAUUCUGCCAAGCAACCACACGUUGGUGCUUAUUACACAAUUUAAGAAGGGGAAGUUUAUUUACUCUAUAGGAAACAAAUAUGAACCUUAUCUAAGGUAAGCUUCAUUUAGAUUGAAAAAAAAGUUGAAAUAGCACUAGAGAACUUAAGGCACAUAAACAAAUUCAGGUGCAGUUAUUUUGAAACCAUUAAAACAAAUUCUUUUCUUUGGAACAAUAUAUAAAAUAAGUUAUGAAUGUUGCUGUUUUUAUCAGCACUAGGAAAAUUUAAUAUCUAAGGCAAUCACACAAAUGUAAAAUGUUCAUAUAAAACAUUAAAAAAUGUCUAAAGUGUCUCUGGAAUUAUUCAUUCACACUCCUGGCUCAAAUGGUUUCUGGUGCCUAGCAUUAGAUGUGACAAUAAUGAUAGCUAGCUAGUCAAACCUACUGCCUUAAAGAUCAACCAAUUUGCUCCAUUCUGGUUACUUGGCAUGGUAAAUUUAUUUAACUAAAAAGAAUAAUGGGGUGAGGUGAUGUAAACCUGGCUUUCAAUAAGAUGCACAACAAAUUCUAAUAAGGCCAAAACUCUGUUGAGGUUAACUGGUGUCUUGAGUUUACUAAAAUAAAGGCAGUCCAUAGGAAGCCUCAAAGAGACAUUAUCUUACCACUUGGCACCACAAAAACACCAAGCUCUCCUCUCUGAAAAUACAGGCCGGGGGUGGUGGCUCACGCCUGUAAUCCCAGCACUUUGGGAGGCCGAGGUGGGCGGAUCACGUGGUCAGGAGUGAUCCGUCUCUACUAAACCCCGUCUCUACUAAAAAUACAAAAAAAUUAGCCGGGUGUGGUGGCACGCACCUGUGGUCUCAGCUACUCGGGAGGCUGAGGCAGAAUCCCUUGAACCCGGGAGGUGGAGGUUGCAGUCAGCUGAGAUCGCGCCACUGCACUCCAGCCUGGGCGACAGAGCAAGACCCCGUUCUCCCCCCUUCCCCAAAAAAAAAAAAAAACGAAAAAAAUACAGUUUGAAGUAGAUGUCGUCUUUUCCACAUAUAAAUCUCAAGACAUAAAAGGCACACACAAUUCAACUCCUCUCUUUUCAUAUAUGGGUUCUCACAGCAAUUUAAAAAAUCUAUUGCCAUAUCCAGACAACAGGAGAAAAAAAAAAUACCUGGUUUGCUUAUUGACAAAAGUGGUUUAUUUAAAUUUUCUAAGAUUCAACCUAAGUUCUUGGUGGCCUUCAAUAUAAAUUUUAAGUACUUAAUUUAUGUAGUUUUAAAUUAUGUAGAGAAAAAAUUAAUAUUGGUGUGAGGUCUGUGUUUAAAAAAAUUCUGUUUUUCAGGAUUUCAUUUCAAAUUUACUAUAAUAAACACAUGGAUAUUAAAAUAAAUGUAUAACAAAAUAAAAGUAAAUAGUUAAUACUUUUUACAACAGAAAAAUACUAGAAUAUAAAGUUGUCUUGAGAAAGUCUUUUUUUAUGUGAAGUCCUAUAUUCAUGAAAUGGACAUGAUCUUACAAAUACACAUGAAAAUAACAACUAUCAUUUGUAGAAUCCUCAGCAUUUACAAAAUACUUUUUCACACAUUAUCUCAUUUACUGUAAAGAAUUUCUUAACUAAAUAAUUCUAUUAUCUAUAAGAGUAUAAUGCAGAUGUUUACUCUAAAAUUAAAGUACAAGUAUCCAAACUGUACCUACAUUCUUUCAACUAAGAGGAUAGAAAAUUGUUUUCUGAAUUGUUGUUAUCACAAAAUGGUAUCUAUCAUUUUAAAAUUAUGAUUUGAAAAAUAAAAAUUCCCUAAAAAUUUUUAAGUUUUUUAGAGUUUUCCUCAGAAUGUAGAUUCUAGCUAAGCAUUAAAGUUUAAAAAAUGUCUAUCUGAAAUCUCUGAAUCAUUCUAAAAUGAGAAAACAAUGUAGCUUACCAAUGUUAGGCUUUUUAUUUCAACCUUGGUUUUAACAGAAAUCUGGUGACACUUUAAUUACAUAU
rnacentral:lncRNA from 10 species